CUAGAGGCUUGCCCGAAGACGACGCCAAAAUGUGGCGCUAGCGAGCGCAGCGAAGCGAUUGGAGCAGCACCUCCGCUUAAGCUUUUCGUUACCGCGAUGAUACAGUAGCGGAAACUGAGGGCGGGGCCGAAGGCGACGCCGAGCUGCGGCGCAAACAAGCGCAGCGCAGCAAGCGGAGCAGAACAAAACGGUUGCGAGAACUUG